AGGAUGAGAAGCUUCGACUAAGGUUCGACUCGAGCGCCAGCGAGAGAGCGUUGCCGCAGGCAACGACCCGAAGGGCGAAGCGCGCAGCGCUGAGUAAUCCUUCCCCCACCACCA
rnacentral:sRNA from 1 species